rnacentral:tRNA from 1 species
AAGGAUUUAAGUUAAUUAAACUUGUACCCUUCAAAGAUACAAAUAAGGAUAAAUUCUUUAAGCCUUA